rnacentral:rRNA from 1 species
GACGAACGCUGGCGGCGUGCUUAACACAUGCAAGUCGAACGCUGAAGACCUGGCUUUUGUUGGGUUGGAUGAGUGGCGAACGGGUGAGUAACACGUGAGUAACCUGCCCUCUUCUUUGGGAUAACGCCCGGAAACGGGUGCUAAUACUGGAUAUUCACUGAUCUUCGCAUGGGGGUUGGUGGAAAGGUUUGUUCUGGUGGGGGAUGGGCUCGCGGCCUAUCAGCUUGUUGGUGGGGUGAUGGCCUACCAAGGCUUUGACGGGUAGCCGGCCUGGGAGGGUGACCGGUCACAUUGGGACUGAGAUACGGCCCAGACUGCUACGGGAGGCAGCAGUGGGGAAUAUUGCACAAUGGGCGAAAGCCUGAUGCAGCGACGCCGCGUGAGGGAUGGAGGCCUUCGGGUUGUAAACCUCUUUCGCUCAUGGUCAAGCCGCAACUGUGGGUUGUGGUGAGGGUAGUGGGUAAAGAAGCGCCGGCUAACUACGUG